CACACACACACACACACACACACACACACAGCUAUAUUAAGUGUCUAAUGGUGGAUUCUCAACUGAAGUUCCGUGAAAGGACGUCCUUAUGCCGUGAGAUUCACAUGGUGAGGCAGCCGUUCUUCAAAGCACGUGAGAGAAUGCCCAGCGAGAGACAAAGAGAAGGAGCAGGGGAUGGGUUCAUAGAGGUCAAUUGUGAUCAAGCAGAUUAAAAUAUGAGGAUUUCCAACCGUGGCAUGAAGGGGUGCUGAGGAGAAAUGAUAAGGAAGAUGGACAGGAUCAUCUUGCCCAGCUGCAGACAUCUCAGCAAUCCUUCCAGGUUUCCAGACCCACCCUGAUCUGCGGACUUCAGCCAGCCUUCCCAGAAGCCUCGGCAAGUCUCUAACCCUAGCUUCAUCUCAGCUGAAAGACUUUCUGACAUACAUUCACGACAAAUGAUUUCCUAUUUAGUCCUUACUUUCUUCUAUUGAUUAAUAAAAUGAGCAUGGUGAUAAUGGCUGUAACCAACCCCAACACUUAGUAAGUGAAGGCAGAAAGACCAGGAGUUCAAGGGCAGCCUGAGCUAUAUGAGAUCUUGUCUCAAGAAACGUCAAGCCAAAUCAACCAAAGUGACUUAUAAUAAUCCAUAUAAACUUUAGGUGGGAAAUCUACAUUUC